rnacentral:lncRNA from 1 species
GCGCGAGCGGCGGCAUGACGCGGAGGCGGAGCAGGCCGAGCGGCGGUGCGGGCAGGCGCGAGCGGGCUCGGGCCGCGGGGCCGCAGAAGCCCCAGGCGCCCGAGCCCCCGCCGCCGCCAAGCCUGGAGGCGGGAGCGGGUGCAGGCCCUCCGGAGGCGCCGGCGGAGCCCGACCACGACGGCCCCAGGGAGGAUGACGAACCCAACCUGGUGCCCGGCCCGCAGCGCCUGCAGCCGCGGCCCCCUCAGCAGCUGUGUCUCCUGGCGCCUCCUCGCCAUACCCAGCAGAGCAGUUGGAGCAGACAGCCAGGCUGCCCGGAGGAGUUUUUGGUGGGGUUUCUGCACUGAGGUGGAAACCCAGCAGAACCUGCCCUUCUUCCCUCCCCUGCUCCGCAAGGCAGCCCACCCCGACCUUGAGAUCCCAGGUUUGGAGAAUCCUGCUGAGAGCGAACAGUAGGAGGAUUCCCCAAAGCUUCCAGCUUGCCACCUGGAAGAAGGUCACUUUCUUUUGAGCAAAGGAGAUAACGGGAGGUACCCUGCCAAAGUUCACUGAGAGGCGGGGGUGACAUGGGCCACGGUUGCUCUGGGAGGGUUGUGGCACUCGGGGCUGGGUGGCUCUCCCUAAGCUUGCUCUGACAAAAGAGUUUUGAGUUGGUCUUUUGGCUGAGCCUGCCCAGGAAGGCAGGCUCCUGCAGGAGUCUUGGAGGGUCGGAUGCGGCGCCGGAUGAGGAUGAGGCGUGGCGGAAGAUGCGUUUGGCUCUGCAGACACUGCAUCGGGCAGCAGGGGACUCUGGGAGGCUGGUGCAGCCAGAAGGCAUGGCUCUUGACAGCCUUCUAGUAGAAUCUCUGGAAUUGUGCAUGUGAGUGGGGUUGCCGUUUGGGGUACCUUCCCACAAAGCCUCCCCUGACCUCCCCAGUUGCGUCAGGUGCCCUCUCUGUGCCCACAGCCCUCUGUGCCUCCCUCUGGUAGCACUCCCCUUUCUGUGAUGAAACAUUGUGUUGAUAUGUCUGUUGCCUGCCCUGGACUGUGAACUCCACAGGGACACAGGCUAUGCCAUCUUUCUCUGAUCUUCCACGCCUCGCCCAGGGCCUUGCUAACACAGAAUAAAAAUAACUAGGUGAAUGAGAGAGAAAA